rnacentral:rRNA from 1 species
UACAGAGGUGCCAAGCGUUGUUCGGAUUUAUUGGGCGUAAAGGGUGCGUAGGCGGUGAUGUAAGUCGGGUGUGAAAUUUCGGAGCCUAACUCCGAAACUGCAUUCGAAACUGCAUUGCUCGAGGUCUGGAGAGGUGAUUGGAAUUCUAGGUGUAGCAGUGAAAUGCGUAGAUAUCUAGAGGAACACCAGAGGCGAAAGCGAAUCACUGGACAGAACCUGACGCUGAGGCACGAAAGCUAGGGGAGCAAACGGG